rnacentral:lncRNA from 1 species
AUGACCUUGGUUCCCAAGGCUUCCUCGACGACCAGCAGAAGACAGUAACACCAAGCACACAUGUCGUUGACCAUGACGUCAACAUCAGCUAGUUGACCUUCCUGCAGUUGAGCCUGACCUCCGUCCUGGUCCCUGCCGACGGCAGCAGGUUUCCCAUCUUGAUCAUGGCCGUGACAAAGUCGCUGCUGAACAGCGCCGGGUUGUUGCUGUACUGCCUGACCAGCGCGUCCUGCGACCCGCCGUUGAAGAGCUCCUGGUCCGAGUGGAGGAGCCCCUUCUGCUGCAGCAGGUUCUGGUAGUAGGCGUUGUCGAACCCGUCGGGGGUCUGCACGUCGAACGGCGCGAGGUUGGCGUCGCCCCCCGAGCGCGGGCACGUCCGCUGCCGGAGCGCCGCGAAGGAGGCGUUGACGUUGGGUUCCGUGUAGAUGCGGCUCCGG